CACACAGUUACAGCGUCCGAGCCCUCUUAUAACUGCAGGCCCCUGGACCCUCCCACCCACACCCAACUCAGCCUGCCAGGUCCCUCUUCUGUUGUCACCUGAGAGCUCCGCCGUCCUCAGCCACCUGCCUUCCCAGCCCCACACCUUGGAAGAGCCCAUCAUGAAACCGUUCCUGUCCUUCACGGUGCUGGCGGUACUUCUGUACUUUUUGGCAGAGGGCCCCAGCCCAGCCCAGGCUUCCUCCAGCGUGGCCGAGGGCUUUGACCAGUUCCAGCACAAGCUGAAGGAGCUGUCAGACAAAGCCAAGUCCGUCAUCAGCCAGAUCCAGCACAGCGAAUUCUCCACCAAAACUAGGAACUGGUUCAAGCAGAGCUUCCAGAAAAUAAAGGACAAAAUAGACUCGACCUUCUCCAAGAAUCACUAGGGAGUCCGUCCCCACUCCUCAUCCUCCACCCGACUCCCAGAAGCCGACAUCCUUCCCAGCUGAAGAAAGAGGCUUCUGAAUGUUCCCUCUUCCUCCCGUCUGCUCUCUCCAGCCCCUGAGCCUUUGUUCACUGACUCAAAUAUAAUAAAGGUUUUAAAACCCCCGAUAUCUGUGUGUGUGUGUGUGUGUGUGAGAGAGAUAGAGACAGAGACAGAGAGAGAGAAGGGGAGGGAUAGAUGGAACACUAAGGCUCACAGAGCAUGAGCCUUCAGGUUGGCAGAUCGGCUUAGAGACUUGUUAUCUGCUCUUCACAACCGCCUUUCAAGAUAGGUCCAGUUAUCGUCCCUGUUUUGUAGAUGGAAGAGCCCGAGCGUCAGGUUAAAAAGGUUGCCCCGGUUAGUAAGGCAUUUCCAAUCCGGGUCUCCCGGGUUCCUCGGCAGCUGCCCUGGGAAUUGGUUUGCAAGUUCCAGAGGAGAUCUGAGAACGCUCACAACCAGAACCCAAAAGAGCCCCACAGGCUAGAACCCGGUUCUAAUGGAAACUGAAAACUAAUCGGGCUGAUUUGAUUUGCUUUUAAAAGUCCACAUCCCUAGUAGGAGGUGGAGGAAGUGCCUGUUCCCAGGAAGAAGGUGUGAAGCUCUCACAGGGCGGGAUGGCAGUGGGAGUGAAAAUGCUCUGGGUGCUGGGUAGGGCUCCGUGAGAAAGCCAGAGAAGCACAUUCAAAAAUGACCGUUGGAAGGGGAGCAACGAAUGCAGGGACAGGUUGGAGCCAGGCUGCGGAGGGUUUGAAUGGCAAUGAUUUCCCAGGGGC